rnacentral:rRNA from 1 species
UUGACCUCAAAUCAGGUAGGACUACCCGCUGAACUUAAGCAUAUCAAUAAGCGGAGGAAAAGAAACUAACAAGGAUUCCCCUAGUAACUGCGAGUGAAGAGGGAAAAGCUCAAAUUUUGAAUCUGGCAGUCUUAAUUGAUUGUCCGAAUUGUAAUCUAGAGAAGCGUCUUCCGCGCUGGACCGUG